UACAGGGGGGGGCAAGCGUUGUUCGGAUUUACUGGGCGUAAAGGGCGCGUAGGCGGCCUGUUUAAGUCAGACGUGAAAUCCCUCGGCUCAACCGGGGAACUGCGUCUGAUACUGGCGGGCUUGAAUUCGGGAGAGGGAUGCAGAAUUCCAGGUGUAGCGGUGAAAAUGCGUAGAUAUCUGGAGGAAUACCGGUGGCGAAGGCGGCAUCCUGGACCGACAUUGACGCUGAUGAGCGAAAAGCUAGGGGAGCAAACGGG
rnacentral:rRNA from 1 species